rnacentral:rRNA from 1 species
AAUGAACGCUGGCGGCGCGCCUAAUACAUGCAAGUCGAGCGAGAAGACGUAGCAAUACGUUUGUAAAGCGGCGAACGGGUGAGGAAUACAUGGGUAACCUACCCUCGAGUGGGGAAUAACUAGCCGAAAGGUUAGCUAAUACCGCGUACGCUUCUUGGACUUCGGUUCAGGGAGGAAAGCGAUGCCGAGGGUAUCGCGCUCUUGGAUGGGACUCAUGUCCUAUCAGCUUGNGGUGAGGUAACGGCUCACCAAGGCUUCGACGGGUAGCUGGUCUGAGAGGACGAUCAGCCACAC